rfam:TPA: Bos taurus chromosome 10, whole genome shotgun sequence.
UCCCUAGGAGUCCAGUGGCUAAGACUCUGUGCUUGCAAUGCAGGAGGCCAGGGUUCGAUCCCUAGUUAGGGAA